rnacentral:rRNA from 1 species
GUCUACAGCUACACUACCCUGAACAAGCCUGAUCUUGUCUGAUCUCGGAAGCUAAGCAGGAUCAGGCCUGGUUAGUACUUGAAUGGGAAACCACUUAGGAAGACCAGGUGCUAUAGGCA